GUGCCAGCAGCCGCGGUAAUACGUAGGGGGCAAGCGUUGUCCGGAUUUAUUGGGCGUAAAGAGCGUGUAGGCGGCCAGAUAGGUCUGGUGUGAAAACUCGAGGCUCAACCUCGAGAGGUCACUGGAAACCAUUUGGCUAGAGUCCGGAAGAGGAGAGUGGAAUUCCUGGUGUAGCGGUGAAAUGCGCAGAUAUCAGGAAGAACACCUAUGGCGAAGGCAGCUCUCUGGGACGGUACUGACGCUGAGACGCGAAAGCGUGGGGAGCAAACAGGAUUAGAAACCCCUGUAGUCC
rnacentral:rRNA from 1 species